GGAGUAUCAAAAAAAAACAAAUAUAUGAACAUUAAUUGCAAUAAAUAAAUGCCAAACAUUCAUAAAAAAAAAACAUUUCAAACCAUCAUAUUUCUCUGAAAAUAAGACCUAAUUGGAAAAUAACCCUAGCAUGAUUUUUCAGGAUACUUGUAAUAUUAACCCUAUUCCAAAAAAUAAGCCACAAUUAAAAUUGUCAAUCAUUAAUAAGCAUUUAGUACAUAUGUUGCAACACAUGACAGACAUAUUGAAUUAUAUAAUAAUAAUAAUUAAAUGUAAAUAAAAUAUAGAAUGGAGAUAAAUCAGUGUGAAAACUUUGUGAAGCUUAGCCUGCAAGAAGUCAUGACUUGGGUGAAGAAUUCACAAGAUAAAUUCUCUGACAGCUGUUUUGCCAAUGCAUUGUGAGCAGGUUACAUGGAUGAAAAGUGCUCAUUUAAGGAGAACUUUAUUGCUGGACAUGAGAGAUUGGAGCCAAUGGUUCUACAAGAAAUGGAGUCCCAAAAAAUUCAGGCUAGAAUUCAGGGUCUGGAGAUUUAUGACAGUGUUCUGGAAGAUGAUGACACAACUGUAUUUGAAUAAAUAUAGAUUUUUGUACGUGAAUAAAUGAAUAAAAUGUA
rnacentral:lncRNA from 1 species